GGGUAUGUUUCUGAGUAUGGAAGCUUGGAAAAAUAGUUAAGACCCUGGAGUAGUACUUUAAAUCACUGUUUUAACCCUAUCUUUCAAAUCUAAGACUAAAUCUUUCUUUUCGCAUAAGUAAUGGAAUCUGUCAGAGAAAAAUGUGAAACCACUUUGAGUACCCUGGUUUUGAGGAUUAGUACUUAGGAAAAAUAUGAAACACUAAAAGUAACUUGUCGAGGCAUGCCUUUCUGUUUGAACAAAUAUAAAUACAAGAUAAAUGUGGGAAAUAGUUGUCCCUCACUAAAAAUCAUGAAAAAUUCACCAAAAUAUCUGUAACAUGCCUUCAAUCUACUGUUAAAGUUUCACCCUUAGAAUCACUGCAGGUUUUGAGAUAAAAGUGGUUGAG
rnacentral:lncRNA from 1 species